rnacentral:tRNA from 1 species
AUCUGUCUGGCUCAGUUGGUAGAGCAUGUGACCCUGAAUCUCAGGGCCACGAGUUCAAGCCUCAUGUGGGGUG